CUUGGUACAGUCCGGCUCCCCCUUCUAUAAAUCUAAUUGGAUUGUACCACUUCCUGUUUGCCAGUCGGGCCUUCUACCUGGGCAGGUGUGGAUGGACAACAUGGAACAAACAUUUGGGGACGACUGGAGAGAUAUGUCUUGGCCUGCUCGAAAAGAUGAGGAAAUACAGCUGCUGCCGGUUCCAUAAAUCCAAAGGGUCAUGUCGCCUGGACAGAACAUCUGGAGUGGACGCUGCCACGAUGGUUUCAAGACUUCACCUGAAGAACAGGAACUUCCCAAUAACACCCUGUAGAACAUCAGGAGGCCAUGAUUUCCAAGACUUCACCAGAAGAAGAGGAACUUGGCCCCAAAGAACAUCAGGAGGAGACACGGCCAUGAUGGUUUCUCAGACUUCACAUGAAGAACAGGAACUUCUACCGUAUCGUAUAAUAUAUUAUCGUUUAAAACUUUUGUAAUUUAUAACUCCUGCUACUAGUGGACAUUUAUUUUAUGGCAUAUUGUUUGACUAUUUCAUAAUUGUAGACUAACAUGUUUUGUUCUAAUCUCUCCAGGAGGAGACGCAGCCAUGAUGGUUUCCAGGACUUCACGUGAAGAGGAGGAUCUUCGCGCUACAGAACAUCAGGAGGAGACACAGCCAUGAUAAUUUUAUCAGACUUCACCUGAAGAACAGGGACUUCUCAAGAACACCCUGAAGGAGGAGAUGGUUUCCAGGACUUCACGUGAAGAGGAGGAUCUUCGCGCUACAGAAACCACGGGGAGGACACGGCCCCCCCCGCGCCUGCUACCACAGGACUCCUCGGAUGAUCCAGGCUCCGACAACGAGUGGGAUUCGAACCAAUCUCCUGCGACUUCCAGUCGCGGUUGAACCACCACACGCCACCGAGAACCCUUCACACUCAACUCUCUUCUCGGUGCGCUUUUGUCAUUGUCACUUUGGAAUCUGGACUUCAAAAGUAACUGUCAUAAGAUUUGAACCCAUGACUGUAGACCCAUCAAACACACUUCUAACAGCCUGAGCUAUUUGUCGUGGAGUUCUGUUUCUUUCUUAGAUUCUUUCAGUCUUUAGUUUGAGUAGAGGACUUCAAAAGUCACAGACUUUCAUAAGAUUUGAACCCAUGACUUUAGACCUACCAAACACUCUUCUAACAGCCUGAGCUAUUUGUCGUGGAGUUCUGGUUCUUUCUUAGAGUCUUUCAGUCUUAAGUGUGAGUAGCGGACUUCAAAAGUCACAGACUUUCAUAAGAUUUGAACCUAUGUCUUAAGCUUUACUAAACACUCUUCAAACAGCCUGAGCUAUUUGUCCUAGUGUUCUGGUUCUUUCUUAGAGUCUUUCAGUGUUUAGUUUGUGUAGAAGAAUUCAAAAGUCAUUCACUGUCAUAAGAUUUGAACCUAUGUUGUAUGCCUCAUCAGACACUCUUCUAACAGCCUGAGCUAUUUGUUGUGGUGUUCUGUUUCUUUCUUAGAUUCUUUCAGUCUUUAGUUUGAUUGAAAUACUUUAAAAGUCAUUGGCUGUCAUAAGAUUCGAACCCAUGACUUUAGACCUACCAAACACUCUUCUCUUCUAACAGCCUGAGCUAUUUGUCGUGGAGUUCUGUUUCUUUCUUAGAGUCUUUCAGUCUUAAGUGUGAGUAGAGGACUUCAAAAGUCACAGACUUUCAUAAGAUUUGAACCUAUGUCUUAAGCCUCACCAAACACUCUUCAAACAGCCUGAGCUAUUUGUCCUGGUAUUCUGUAUCUUUCUUAGAUUCUUUCAGUCUUUAGCUUGAUUAGCAUAUUUAAAAAGUCAUUGACUGUCAUAAGAUCUGAACUCAUGACUUUAGUCCCAUCAAACACUCUCCUCUUCUAACAGCCUGAGCUAUUUGUUGUGGAUUUUUGGUUCUUUCUUAGAGUCUUUCAAUCUUUAGUUUGUGUAGAAGAAUUCAAAAGUCAUUGGCUGUCAUAACAUUUGAACCUUUGUCUUUAGGCACGUCAAACACUCUUCUAACAGCCUGAGCUAUCUGACCACUCAUGUUCUCAUGCUUUCCUAGAGCUUUUCUGUUUGUUUGCUUCAUUGGUUGAUUAACUAUAAAAGAUCCUACCAGGCUUGAACCUAUGUCACCAGAACACUUAUGAGCAGACCUGACAUGUUAGGCUACGAGAGAAAAGCUGUUUGGUUCAGAUUAUUUGAAGUUUUUCAGUUUUUCCUCUGGGAAUUGAACAUAAAAACAUUGAAACUCUCCAACAACCUGCUAAUCCUUUGAGGAUGACUCUAACCACUUGAGCCACUAAGCCAGAGGCCACAACCCACAUAUUUUUACACCUUUUCAGUCUUUCAUGUUGGUAUUACCAUGUAAAAUGGAUUUCUACAUCCAGGGCUUGAACCCAAACCUUCUUAAACUCUGAGGAAAGACUUAACAUCCUGAGCCACAGCUCCAGACACAUUGACCAUCUCAUUUUUAAAGCAUUUCAGUCUUUCCUCUGUCACUUAGAGAAUAAAAUGUAGAAAGCAGAGCUCUGGAUUUGAUCUGUUGGUUUCAGGUUGUGACUCAGAACCACAGCUGAUCUCACUGAGCUACUCGCAAACACAGACGUGCAGCUUUUGUUGUUGUGUUCAUUGUUCACUUCCCUCAGAAGCAAGAACAGAAAAACCACAGUAGCCUAGAGAUGAACCGAUGACCUAAUGGAUUUAGCCGGGAUAUGUUGGUUAUCCUGGAUUAACUUAACCAUGAUCUGGUUGCUCCAAAACAUGGAGAUUUAUUCCGUGGAGCUUGGCUGCUCCAGACCAGGUUAACAUCCAGGAUCUAUUUAAUCUCAGUCACCACAAAUGGAAACCAAUAUUUAUUCCACUGCCCACUACACAUUAUUAUCACAUUCAACUAGACCCACUGUCACUAUUUAAACAUCUGUCAUCAUCAUUAAGUGGCAUCAUUUUAGAUGAUUUUGAAAUUAGUAGAUAGUUUAGUUUCCCAUAGACUAUAUAAAAUACACAUCCCAUAGAAAUAUAAAUACACGUCAAAGAGUAACAAGAUGUUCCUUUAUUGAAUAAGGACAAAUCAAAGCAAGUUAACUGAAGUCACACAGUGCUCCACAAGAUAGAAAGAACAGAAUCAAACCAUAUUAUACAAAUCACAAAUAAAUGCAGGACAAAUCCAUAUUUAAAUGAGGCCUGUAUUCAGUAUACAGCACUAUACGCCAAAUACUAUAAAAUAAUACAAAUUUCUUUCCAGGCCCUGUUUAACGUAACUCUAAAACAUGUGUCUAUGCCAUUGCACGCUAUAUUCAGCUUAAAUGUACAGAAUGCAUUUUAACUAAAAUAAUUUAAAACGUAAAAGCCGUGCACUGUCCUCAUCCGUGAAGAUGGUGGAUUGUCCCUGUCCACGAUGAUGUCUGAUGUUCUGAUGUCACUCUGUGGGCCCCCUCCCUCCUCAGGCAGGACACAUAGUGGAGGACAGCACAGACCACAGUAAUGUCACAUGUCCUGUCUGGACUGACCUAAGAUGGUGGAGACAUUGGAAGUGUUCCUUCAGGAGGCCAAAGAUCAUCUCCAUCCAGCCCUUGUCCUGGUGGGGACAUUAUUA